rnacentral:misc_RNA from 1 species
AGCAGCCGCGGUAAUUCCAGCUCCAAUAGCGUAUAUUAAAGUUGUUGCAGUUAAAAAGCUCGUAGUUGAACUUCGGGGUUUACCCAUUGGUCAGGCUUAAUUGUCUGUACUGGUGAGAUAAAUCUCUACCUUCUGAGGAACUUUCAUGUCAUUAAUUUGGUGUGAUUGGAAAUCAGGACUGUUACUUUGAAAAAAUUAGAGUGUUUAAAGCAGGCUAACGUCUGAAUACAUUAGCAUGGAAUAAUGAAAUAGGACGGAUUGAUUCUAUUUCGUUGGUUUCUAGGAUCACCGUAAUGAUUAAUAGGGAUAGUUGGGGGCAUUAGUAUUCAAUUGUCAGAGGUGAAAUUCUUGGAUUUAUUGAAGACUAACUACUGCGAAAGCAUUUGCCAAGGAUGUUUUCAUUAAUCAAGAACGAAAGUUAGGGGAUCGAAGACGAUCAGAUACCGUCGUAGUCUUAACCAUAAACUAUGCCGACUAGGGAUCGGACGAAGUUAAUUUUAUAAUGACGCGUUCGGCACCUUACG